rnacentral:rRNA from 1 species
UACGGGGGGGGCAAGCGUUGUUCGGAAUUACUGGGCGUGAAGGGCUCGUAGGCGGCCUGGCAAGUGGAAGGUGAAAUCCCUCGGCUUAACCGAGGAACUGCCUCCCAAACUGCUUGGCUUGAGACCGGGAGAGGUGAGUGGAAUUCCCAGUGUAGCGGUGAAAUGCGUAGAUAUCUGGAGGAACAUCGGUGGCGAAGGCGGCAUCCUGGACCGGUAUUGACGCUGAGGCGCGAAAGCCAGGGGAGCAAACGGG